UCUCUCAAGCCCGGUCCUGCCUGCCCCCCGCCCCGGCUUUAGCGCUACCCGGGCCAGGGCAGUGGCCGCAUCGGACCUUCGGUCUGCUGGAGGCUCUAGGGCGCUCCUCGACCCUUUUCGCUCCGACACCUCCUGCGAGCUCAAAGCAAGCCGGUCCCGCUCCAUCGGGCUACCACCGGUGGUGCCCGCUUGGUGCCCGAGCUGAACGCGGGUCUCCACCCAGCCAUGAGGCGUCGUCACGGGCCUCUCGGUGUGUCCGGCGCCAGCGCAUCCUGAACCGAGGAGAGCUCGGCUAAUUCUCGUGGAGUCACCCCCAUUUCCUGCGCGUUACAGGCCCCCGAUGCGAUCCGCCGGGGCCAGAGGAGCCACCUUGCCUGCCGAAGGAAACAAGGCUUUUCCUGAGAGGCAGAAAUACCUUGGAUCUUGUUUUCAUCGCCUUGGUCGAUCAACAUUUUCUCUUGUCUUUAAUGUGGUCUCGCAGCCAUAGCAGUUCAUCUGUAAAAUAAAAGAGCCGGGAA